CCUACGGGAGGCAGCAGUGGGGAAUAUUGCACAAUGGGGGGAACCCUGAUGCAGCGACGCCGCGUGAGUGAAGAAGUAUCUCGGUACGUAAAGCUCUAUCAGCAGGGAAGAAAAUGACGGUACCUGACUAAGAAGCCCCGGCUAACUACGUGCCAGCAGCCGCGGUAAUACGUAGGGGGCAAGCGUUAUCCGGAUUUACUGGGCGAAAAGGGAGCGUAGGCGGACUUUUAAGUGAGAUGUGAA
rnacentral:rRNA from 1 species